UACGUAGGUGGCAAGCGUUGUCCGGAUUUAUUGGGUUUAAAGGGUGCGUAGGCGGCCUUGUAAGUCAGUGGUGAAAUACUCCAGCUUAACUGGAGGGGUGCCAAUGAUACUGCAGGGCUUGAGUACAGACGAGGUAGGCGGAAUUGACGGUGUAGCGGUGAAAUGCAUAGAUAUCGUCAAGAACACCUAUAGCGAAGGCAGCUUACUGGGCUGUAACUGACGCUGAGGCACGAAAGUGUGGGGAUCAAACAGG
rnacentral:rRNA from 1 species